rnacentral:rRNA from 1 species
ACGAACGCUGGCGGCGUGCUUAACACAUGCAAGUCGUACGAUGACCCGGCUCUUCGGAGCUGGUGAUUAGUGGCGAACGGGUGAGUAACACGUGGGUGACCUGCCCUGCACUCUGGGAUAAGCCCGGGAAACUGGGUCUAAUACUGGAUACGACCAGUGGCCGCAUGGUCUGCUGGUGGAAAGCCCUUCGGGGUGGUGUGGGAUGGGCCCGCGGCCUAUCAGCUUGUUGGUGGGGUGAUGGCCUACCAAGGCGACGACGGGUAGCCGGCCUGAGAGGGUGUCCGGCCACACUGGGACUGAGACACGGCCCAGACUCCUACGGGAGGCAGCAGUGGGGAAUCUUGCACAAUGGGCGAAAGCCUGAUGCAGCGACGCCGCGUGAGGGAUGACGGCCUUCGGGUUGUAAACCUCUUUCGGCAGGGAACAAGCCUGGGGGUUUUCUUCUGGGUGAGGGUACCUGCGGAAGAAGCACCGGCUAACUACGUG